rnacentral:lncRNA from 1 species
UUUUUGGUUAUUAUCUUGAAUAUUAUUAUAGAUAGAGAUAAACUGUUAACAGCAAUAAUGUUCAGCAAAGUAAGAUCUACAAAUAAGUCAACAUGACCAAAAUUGUCAGUUGACCGGUUUAGGAGUUAUUGCCCUUUAUAGUCAAUUUUUAACCAUUUUUCGUAAAUUAAAGUAAUCUUUUACAAAAAGCUUCUCCUCUGAAACUACUGGGUUAAAUUAAUUCAAACUUGGCCACAAUCAUCUUUGGGGUAUUUAGUUUAAAAAAUGUGUGGCGUGACCUGGUCAACCAACCAAGAUGGCCGCCACCGCUAAAAAUAGAACAUAGGGGUAAAAUGCAGUUUUUGGCUUAUAACUCAAAAACCAAAGCAUUUUGAGGAAAUCUGACAUGGGGAUAUAAAUGUUUAUCAGGUCAAGAUCUAUCUGCCCUGAAAUUUUCAGAUGAAUCGGUCAAUGGGUUGUUGGGUUGCUGCCCCUGAAUUGGUAAUUUUGAG